CCUACGGGAGGCAGCAGUGGGGAAUUUUGGACAAUGGGCGCAAGCCUGAUCCAGCAAUGCCGCGUGAGUGAAGAAGGCCUUCGGGUUGUAAAGCUCUUUUGUCAGGGAAGAAACGGUGAGGGCUAAUAUCCUUUGCUAAUGACGGUACCUGAAGAAUAAGCACCGGCUAACUACGUGCCAGCAGCCGCGGUAAUACGUAGGGUGCAAGCGUUAAUCGGAAUUACUGGGCGUAAAGCGUGCGCAGGCGGUUUUGUAAGUCUGUCGUGAAAUCCCCGGGCUCAACCUGGGAAUUGCG
rnacentral:rRNA from 1 species